CUUGCAUGGAAUGUUGGUUAUUAUUCUCGGAUACAUUGUAUAUUGUGAUAUUCUAAUAUGUUUCUAUAGAGGGACAGCAUAGUGCAGGGCUCAGUUACUGGGGGGAGGGUUAUUAUUAUUAUUAUUCUACAAUAUAAGAUAAAUAGCCAUGGGAGCAUUGUUGGCAGACUCUUAUUUAAGUUAUAUUGUGUUAGCUUUACAGUUUGGAGGAAGAACAUCUGGAGCCUCAGUUAUGGAAUAAAAACCUAUAAAAUAUUGAUUUAUAAUCAGCAGCCAGCAGAGGGAUAUGUUAGUGGAAUCUAUUACUGAAGGUAAUAAAGCAGCAGUUUAUCCACUCCCAUUAUAAUACAUUGAGAAAUGACUGGGUGCAAAGGAAGGGUUAAAUGUAUAAAUGUCUCAACUCUAUCCCUGGGUGUUAAUGAGUUAAAUACCUCAAAGGUUAAGGUCCGGGAACGAAAGCGUUAAAUGUAGUAAUAGUCUAUUAAGCCCCCCCUGAUGUGUGCCAUAGUACUGUCAAUAAAGAGGUUAAAUGGCACUAGUAGGGUUUAUUGAUAUCUGGCAGAAAGAGGUCCACAUUCACACAGGUAGAGAGAUGUCCCUCUGACUGCUGCUUUUGUUAAUUGAUGCACUGCAUAGCAUUAUAUCAGCUGUAAGAGGGAUAACCAAAAAAACAGACUCCUAACUAUUGUGGAGCUACUUUUAGCAGGGUUUACAUGUCCCACUCUGAGUCUUUAACAAUUUAUGACAGUAUACAAUCACACGCAUUGGUAAACAAUCCAGUCCUAAAGUCACAUUAAUAGCCCAGGAAUUCCUAGUAUCCAUAAUGAGAAAAUACCUGAACUUUUGGAGAGCCUUGAUGACUUGGUUAGGGGCCACUGGUAUAGACUGUGGAUACAGUAUUUGCAUCUUCCCCCCAAUAUUACUCCUACCACUGAAUAUGCAUCAAGGGGCAUGGGCAUUAUAAACGAAGAUCACUUCAUAUUUUGUUAUAGUCUAGAAAAAAAAAAUACUCUUGCCUCCACCCUGUAUCAAUGUAUUACUUUUAUUCUAAGAGCAAGUGUUAUACUUUCUUGCAGGUGAUGUGUGGGUGCCAAAUCCACAGUGUUUUACUGUUAACACGUCUAUGCGCUGCCCAUCAGCAUAACUACUUCCCCGCAGUAUGUGGAAGGAAACCGUUUACCAGUCUAGUAGAGACCAGGGCUGUGUGGGUGGCACACGAUACCUUCAACUCAGACUCCACAGCACUGUAAUUAUCUCAGUCGAUGGGACCACAAAUUGAGGAGUCUGGAUGAAAGGUUUUGUGCACUGAUUCUAGUCCUGUUAGGGAACGAGAACAAAUGCCAUGACUAUUGACUAUUUUAAUGUAGUUUCCACUGCUCAAAUACAAAAAAAAAAUAAGAAUAAUAAAAAAAGCUAUUUAGUAGAUAUAACCCCAAUGAAAACAUACAUGCAUUUAAUUAUGCAAUUUUUCAUUAUUGUAUAUGUAAAAAAUUUUCGCAAAUGCUGCAGGUCACUUAUCUGCAGCCUUUGCAAGCCCUCACCUUUUUCCCCAGCACAGAAUUACAGUCUGUCCUUGGAAAUUACCAAUUUGAGGCUAAUCAACGAGCCAUGCAUGCGCAGCGAGCCAAGGAGGAUGUAGAGGUUACCUGAACUCUGUGGACGUGUGCAUGCUCACUGUAACUUUGAGGAGAAGGUGGGUGUGCUCUAAUAGAGUUCUAUGGAGCUAGCAAAAUCGGGAAGAAAACCUCCAUGUUUCUGAAAUUAUUU